UACGUAGGGUGCAAGCGUUGUCCGGAAUUAUUGGGCGUAAAGAGCUCGUAGGCGGUUCGUCGCGUCGGCUGUGAAAACCCGGAGCUCAACUCCGGGCCUGCAGUCGAUACGGGCGGACUUGAGUGUUGCAGGGGAGACUGGAAUUCCUGGUGUAGCGGUGAAAUGCGCAGAUAUCAGGAGGAACACCGGUGGCGAAGGCGGGUCUCUGGGCAACUACUGACGCUGGGAAGCGAAAGCAUGGGGAGCGAACAGG
rnacentral:rRNA from 1 species